GACGAACCGAGCGAACGUUGUUCGGAAUCACUGGGCUUAAAGGGCGCGUAGGCGGGCUGCUGCGUCCGGGGUGAAAUCCUCCGGCUCAACCGGAGAACGGCCCCGGGUACGGGCGGCCUCGAGGGGGGUAGGGGCGUGCGGAACUGUGGGUGGAGCGGUGAAAUGCGCAGAUAUCAGGAGGAACACCGGUGGCGAAGGCGGUUCUCUGGGCAUUACCUGACGCUGAGGAGCGAAAGUGUGGGGAGCGAACAGG
rnacentral:rRNA from 1 species